AUUGAACGCUGGCGGCAGGCCUAACACAUGCAAGUCGAGCGGAUGAAGGGAGCUUGCUCCUGGAUUCAGCGGCGGACGGGUGAGUAAUGCCUAGGAAUCUGCCUGGUAGUGGGGGAUAACGUCCGGAAACGGGCGCUAAUACCGCAUACGUCCUGCGGGAGAAAGUGGGGGAUCUUCGGACCUCACGCUAUCAGAUGAGCCUAGGUCGGAUUAGCUAGUUGGUGGGGUAAAGGCCUACCAAGGCGACGAUCCGCAACUGGUCUGAGAGGAUGGUCAGUCACACUGGAACUGAGACACGGUCAAGACUCCUACGGGAGGCAGCAGUGGGGAAUAUUGGACAAUGGGCGAAAGCCUGAUCCAGCCAUGCCGCGUGUGUGAAGAAGGUCUUCGGAUUGUAAAGCACUUUAAGUUGGGAGGAAGGGCAGUAAGUUAAUACCUUGCUGUUUUGACGUUACCAACAGAAUAAGCACCGGCUAACUUCGUG
rnacentral:rRNA from 1 species